CAGCGUCUGAUACUGGACAGAAGGGCAAUCUCACCGAUGGCGGGAUGCCCUGAGUGUGUUGGGUCCCCAGCCUUUGAGGACUUACACACAGCCUCACAUACAUGAAGAGGUGCUGCAAGCGUUAGUCGUGGGUUUUCUGCAGAGAGGAACCAGUAACAAUGCCUGGUUCUUUGUACUUGUCAGCAUUUUUUAGCUAUUUUAUUGUUUUUUGCAAUAAAUAUGUAUUAUGUGCAUCGU